rnacentral:misc_RNA from 1 species
GGUGUGGUGUGGUGCUCCAUGGACUGACACCACAAUGCGCGGUUCGAGCUCCUUUUUGACUGGGAAUAAGAUUGACUUUCUUGACUACAACUUGGAGACAUCAAUGUACCUUCUCUGGACUGUAGUUUCGUCUGCAGCACUGACUAAUUCUGCCGUCAAACGACCGAUCCGAGUGAGUGAAUUUGAAAUGUGGAUGGCGGCAGCUACUGCUAGACGAAAACUCGACUUACGGUACCUUUGAAUUGGUUCGCCAGCGUCAGGGCCGGGGAUCAAGCUUCUCUUUGCCUUCAGCUUCAGCCCUCAGCAGCCUCGAGUUCAGCUGGAGAAGGAAUUUGAACUGAAGUCAGAAGUCAGAACAUCGUCAAGCCAGACCCAUAUGCAGGAGUGGUGAAGUCUUCCUAUACAUGUAACUGAUGGAUUCUAUGGACUCUCCCCUUUUGGACAAAGUGCCCUCAACUGGUCUCCAAUUCAAGUAUACCCCGACAUCAUUCAGACUUCAACCACCCCCAUUCAAUGCGGCUUCAGAUUCACAGAACAAAGACGAUAAUUGGAGGAAGGACAGUACAUGCCAUCAUCAAUUGAGCUCCAAGAAUGAAGAAUCUGGAAACACAGAUCCCCAUGGCAACAAUAACAACACCGAAGUCGAAGUUGAGAAGAUGAUGUCAUCUGCUUCUUCUGCCCUUGCAAAGCAAGGAGUAACAGUACUAGUGGGAUGUGGAAUAAACGAACUAUCAAGUGAACAGUCAUCGCUGACACCUGUCGCUAUUCAAGGUAACCAAAGACUUGAGAACAGUAACAUUGAGAUGGAUAGCAAACCUGCUGUCUCGUUGGACAACCUUCUGGUAGGUGGCUUAUCAGAUGGAGCGCAUCAUAUGACAGCGAUUAGUGGAAAAGGUGGCAUGAUAAAUCUAAGCAAUAUAUCUUCCAGCAAGUCUAGUAGUUCAAUAGGGUACACCAGGACCAUAUUCCAUACUGACCAUGUGGGCGAUGGAAAUGAGUACAAGAGUGAACCGGAACCAAUCAUGGACAGACCUGAAGAAAAUACACGUAGCACAUUACUGGUCUGUAAAUGGGCAUCGUGCUACCAGAGAUUCAACAGGCUUGAAGAAUUGGUUUAUCAUGUUAAUGAGAGACAUGUGAGACUUGAGAAAGACACAGAGUAUUGCUGUAGAUGGGAAGGCUGCCAGAGGAAAGGAAAAGGCUUCAAUGCAAGAUACAAGAUGUUAAUCCAUGUACGUACACACACUAAUGAGAAGCCUCAUCAAUGCCCGCUGUGUCUCAAGAGCUUUUCACGACUGGAGAACCUCAAGAUCCAUAACCGCUCUCAUACAGGUGAAAGGCCGUAUGUGUGUCCAGUAGAGGGUUGCAACAAAAGGUACUCUAACUCAAGUGACCGCUUUAAGCAUACACGGACACACUUAGAGGAAAAGCCAUACAGCUGCAAAGUGCACGGCUGCCACAAACGAUACACGGACCCUAGCUCUUUACGCAAACAUAUAAAAUCUCACGGUCACUACGCAAGUCGUUAUUCUUCCAAAUCAACAGACUCCUUAUCGAAUAGUACUAAUUCAGUGACUGCAAUAACAGGACCUGUCGGUUUGAGUAUAACAUCAACAUCGCCCUCUUUGUCCAUAUCCCCACCGGCACCUACUCCCAAACCCAUCGUGCCACCGGUACCAGCCAUAACGGCAAUGACUACUGGGACAAGCGUAUCCGAUGGAGUGAUCGUCUAUCCUAUCAUCGUACACCCUCCGAAUUUACCACCUCACUAUAGCUACGUGACGGUACCCACGGGUGCGUUGACCAGUAUAUCAACUGCCUUACCCACAAGCCCCCUCUUCUCCAGCCCUGUCGUCCCAUCCAGUAGCAUCAUUGGUAAUCAUAUGCUAGAGCCUUCUACCAUAGGGACUGUUCCGCAAAGUGCCAAACUUGAUGCGACCUAUGCCGGUCUGAACCUUGGUCUUGGUGCCUUACCGAUGGAUGCCACCAAAAGGGAUGACAGACUUCGACUUUCCAUCAAACCAUCGGGAAUGGAAGUCCUGAUGCCUGGAGCGUCUAGUCCCCUGACUAAAACACAAACUGUGCCUUCUACUUCUGUUAUUUCAACUAGCAUGUCAUGAUAAUAGUACUUCUAUUCUAUCAGUAAUUAGUUUGUUUUUCAUAGAGUUUAUGAAGUAAUUUUGUAUUCAUAUUUUCAUAUAUGGGCAAUAUAGUCAUCAGCUUUUCUAUUUCAAUUGUUAGUAUGGUGCCUUUUUUAAUCAACUAUUUAAAUUUUAUUUCAAAGUUAUACAUUUUAUGUCAUGGAUAAUUUUUUACUGUGAGUUUUGUUUUAAUUUGUAAAACUGCAUUUUAUGAUGUACUGUACAUCGUUGAAUAUCAACGAAUUAUAGGACAUCUUGCCUUGGAAAAGUCUUGUUCUUUUUGACUUGGUUGUCAACUAAAACAUUGCACCGGUAAUUUGACAUGAUUUUAGCUUUAGUUGAAGAUGUUUGAUUGAACAGUAAAUCAUUUUAAUCACAACACUGGAACUGAGCAUUCAGUGAGCACACAAUCUAUAUAAUAUAUCAUUUUAAUGUAUUUUUUGUUUUUAUUUUCCAAGUCCUCUUUAUUAUGCCUAAUUUACUGCAAAUUUGUAUUGACAAGGAUAAUGCUAGGAAUGGUGCCUCAAUUCAUUAUUUUUCUCACCAUUUUGAAUAAAAGUUAAACAUGUUUUGAAAAUACUGUUUAAAUGACACACAGAUGCCAGAUGACAAUCAAAGAAAAGGGGGUGGAAUUGAUUGAAAUCGAUCAAUGGAUAUCUCUUUUAUCGAUGACAUUAUUUUUGGUCUUUUUGUUUUUCCCUUUUACUUUAUUACACAAUGUUUGUAUCUUACGAGUCACCUAUUCCUACUCCAACAAUACAUAAACCUGAGAUGCAGACUAUUUCUUAGUAUUUUAUUAUGUUUUUGCAAAAAAAACCUGCAUGUUUGAUGAAAAUUAAAUGGUCAUAUUCAAAACAUUUUCAGGGCUUAAAUCAACCCAAGGCCAUGGCCUCUGAUGCCCUUAAAAGUGGUGGCCUUAAUGCUCUUCCAAAUAUUUUUAGCCUUUAAGGCCAAAAUAAAGCAUCCUUUUUGCCUUUGGCCUUAAUGUCCUGUGGUAAUCCUGUGUGUCCCAUUUGAAAGUAAAUUUAACUAUUGAUGCCUUUUUAAUGGCAUUGGAUGCACCCUGAAGGGAGCACUGCCUCCCUUUCCUUAAAGUGCCCUUUUAAAAGAUUACCGUGCCCCUGUGCAUUCAUAAUUCAAGCCCUGUAUUAUCCA